ensembl:snRNA U6 U6 spliceosomal RNA
CUGUUCUCACUUUGGUAACACAUAUCCUAAAACUGGAAGGGUACAGAGAAGAUUAACAUAGGCCCUUUGCAAGGAUGACAUGCAAAUUCACCAAGCAUCCCAUAGGCUA